rnacentral:rRNA from 1 species
GAAUUUUAUAUGAAUUUAUUAUAUAAUUUAGUAAUAAUGGGUAAUAAAUUUAUAUUUUAUUGGGAGGAUAGUUAAAUUAUAUAAACUAUAAUGAUGUAAAGACCAUUGAUUUAUGAAUUGAUAGAUAGAGUGGCUAAUAAUAAGUUUAGAAAGAAUUAAUUACCUUAGGGAUAACAGCGUGAUAUUUUUAGAGAGAUCUUAUUAAUAAAAAUGAUUGC